UUUGGAUUAAGUCAGAUUACUGGCAUGGUUAGAAAUCAAGGUAUUUACAUCCGUAAGUGCAAAUCUGUAAAGACUGAUCCCUUUUUCUUGUAAAAUCAAUUUAUUAUUGUAAUUGUAUGUGAACACCCUAAUUCCCCAAAUUCCCAGAACAUCAUCCAGGGCAAAAGGUCAGAACCCUAAAGCUGUCAAAAUCAGUGAUAUCUAUUCAUUGCACUUGGCAGUGUUUUGAUUUCCCUUUGGUAGCUGCUCAUUUAGCACUAAAGCAAACCUGACUCUUAAUCAAGCCACAGCAUUAGCUCUUCUAAUUACUCUGGUAACAGUCCUAACCUCUGUGACCGAACUGCUUCUGGAAUGCAGUAAAUGAUCUAAUAUACUGCUCGCUUGCAGCUCAGAGCAGAGCACACCCUCCUUACAAUUUCUCAGUUGUUGUGGUGCUGUCCAUGAACUGUCAGAAGAGCAAAAAGAAAACUUCACUGCCAUGACUUCUUGCUGGGUGGGGUUGUCCAUCUUUACAAUAAAGCCAACUUUCCUCCCAGGGCAUUUUACUGCUUAGAUCUCAGCCUCACUGAAAGCACACAUAUGGAGACACAGAAAGCCUCAAGCACAGUCACCAGUGUUGGCUAACUGGUAUUAUUCCUGGACUGGAGACAAAGAAGAGCAGACCAGAACAUCACACCACAGUUCUGAGGUCUUCAGUCAUGUGCCAUUGCCAUGGAAGCCUUCCCUGCACACCUGGGAGGGAUUAGCUGUCAACAUAGUUGUUGUGCAUGAAAUCCUGAAGCCUGGCUGACAGGGAUGAAAGUCAUUAAGUUUGAGUAGUGACACCUCCUUCCAACCCAAGAUGUUUUUUACAUCCAAGUUGGGAGACUGUUUGCAACCUAAUGUAAAACUUACAUUUUUUUGGUGGUGAUUGAGGAACAUCAGCUGGAGAAAGUGAUCAGGUCAGUUUCAAGGGAAGUAAUUAGCACAUACACUGCAGCAGGGGAAUCCUUCCAACCUCAGUCACUAGCACUGUGCAAAUGGUUUGCAGCUCGAAAAAUCAUUGUUUAUCAUGGGCCGAAAGGUUUUCAAGCCAAGUAAUAAAACAGAAUAGCUCUUGUAGUCCUACCUGUCC
rnacentral:lncRNA from 1 species